GGCUGUCACGCUGAGACUUUCUCCAGGAGCUGGGGUGGCAGUGCUGAUAUUUUUAUAGCAGCAGAGCAUGCCAGAGUCCAGCAGCUGUUCGGGAUGAGCCAUCCCUUUCAGUUGGCCUGGACAUCGCUAAAAUGAACAGUGCCGAAAAUCACUCCUGGGAUCUGUAAGCCCAUCUUUCUCAGAGGCAGUUUGUCUUCUGGCACAGUUUUUUCCAUCAACGAGGCUGAAGCAAGAGAGGGUUUCCCAGCAGCCCAGUUCAGGUUCCAUUCUAGGAGGAACAAAGCCUGCGGGCCCAUGGCAGAGGAACCCCAAGUUUCCUCCCACCUAGAAUUUUUCUUCAGGGCCACCCCGCAGGGCAGCCAGUGACCUUUUGGGCAUCAGUCCUUGAUAGGUAUGGAGAGACCAUUUUCAGGCAACAGCCUUGGAAUCUCACCUGCCUCACCUCUGGCCUUGACAUGCCUUAGAUGGAAUGAGGGCUAAAGGUCACCCUGGAGAUCUCUGAGAGGCCAGGGGAUUUCGGGGCCCACUUGCUUACCAGUUUGACUUCUGCCCUGUGUACCACCCUCACCUCCACCCCACUGUGGUAACUAGAAAAAAAAAAAAAAAAAAAAAAAACGAAACCUUUGCAUGAAAGGAAGCAGGGGAAGUCUCUGAAGUGUGACUGCAAACCUGAAAACAGAAAACUAGUCUUGCAUCACCAUCUGGAAGACAAGAGUUUGAGGAGAAACAGAAAGCAACUUUUAACCCCUGAGAGGCUGCACUUAGUCACUGAGAGAACAUCCUGUUGCCUCCUUGCUUCUGAACAGGACUGCUGGCUGGAGGGCUUGCACUGUCCCUUGGGCCCAGGAGGAAACAGAGGCCCAGAGUAGGAUGGUAUCACUGGGAGGGUUCAUCACCAUUCUUUCCACAAAUGAAGCUGGAUUCCUGUAUGUCAUCUCAUCCUUGCAGCUCUCCUGGGAACUGGAAGGCACUGAGGAACCUUUGGAAGUAGAGGAUAGUGGCUAUCUAUGUAAGAAUCCAUUCAUUCAUUCUUGGAGCAAGUAUUUAAUGAACACCUGUUUUGUGCCAGGCCCCAUUCGAGUCAAUGAAAUCAAUUGGUAGGUAAUCACUUAAAAAUAAAAAAACAA